rnacentral:rRNA from 1 species
UACGUAGGGUGCAAGCGUUGUCCGGAAUUAUUGGGCGUAAAGAGCUCGUAGGCGGUCUGUCGCGUCUGCUGUGAAAACUCGGGGCUUAACCCCGGGCCUGCAGUGGGUACGGGCAGACUAGAGUGCGGUAGGGGAGACUGGAAUUCCUGGUGUAGCGGUGAAAUGCGCAGAUAUCAGGAGGAACACCGGUGGCGAAGGCGGGUCUCUGGGCCGAUACUGACGCUGAGGAGCGAAAGCGUGGGGAGCGAACGGG